rnacentral:sRNA from 1 species
AAAUAGCCCUGAUGGCAGCGAAAUCCCUUUUGGUUAAGGAUGGAUUAUUAAUCGGCACGGAGAUCCAAAAGGAUUGUAGCGGACAGCAGGAUGGAAC